rnacentral:rRNA from 1 species
GAUGAACGCUGGCGGCGUGCCUAAUACAUGCAAGUCGAGCGAACGGACGAGAAGCUUGCUUCUCUGAUGUUAGCGGCGGACGGGUGAGUAACACGUGGAUAACCUACCUAUAAGACUGGGAUAACUUCGGGAAACCGGAGCUAAUACCGGAUGAUAUUUUGAACCGCAUGGUUCAAAAGUGAAAGACGGUCUUGCUGUCACUUAUAGAUGGACCCGCGCUGCAUUAGCUAGUUGGUAAGGUAACGGCUUACCAAGGCAACGAUGCAUAGCCGACCUGAGAGGGUGAUCGGCCACACUGGAACUGAGACACGGUCCAGACUCCUACGGGAGGCAGCAGUAGGGAAUCUUCCGCAAUGGGCGAAAGCCUGACGGAGCAACGCCGCGUGAGUGAUGAAGGUCUUCGGAUCGUAAAACUCUGUUAUUAGGGAAGAACAUAUGUGUAAGUAACUGUGCACAUCUUGACGGUACCUAAUCAGAAAGCCACGGCUAACUACGUG